UACAGAGGGGGCAAGCGUUAUUCGGAAUUAUUGGGCGUAAAGGGCGCGUAGGCGGCCUGGCAAGUGGAUGGUGAAAUCCCUCGGCUUAACCGAGGAACUGCCAUCCAGACUGCUUGGCUUGAGACCGGGAGAGGUGAGUGGAAUUCCCAGUGUAGCGGUGAAAUGCGUAGAUAUUGGGAGGAACACCAGUGGCGAAGGCGGCUCACUGGACCGGUACUGACGCUGAGACGCGAAAGCGUGGGGAGCGAACAGG
rnacentral:rRNA from 1 species